rnacentral:rRNA from 1 species
CCCUUAGAUGUUCUGGGCUGCACACGUGCUACACUGGCAGGUUCAGCGAGCUUCAUGCCCUGAUCUGAAAGGAAUGGGAAAUCUUUUCAAAACCUGCCGUGCUUGGGAUAGAUGUUUGCAAUUAUUCAUCUUCAACGAGGAUUGCCUUGUAAGCGCACGUCAUCAGCGUGCAUUGAAUACGACCCUGUAUUCUGUACACACCGCCCGUCGCUCCUACCGAUUGAAGUUUUCGGUGAGUUGACAGUAGGAUUUUUUUGAAACUGGUUCGCCAGUGGAUUUUAGAUCCAAAUGCCAACGAAUCGAUGGCUUUAGAGGAAGGAGAAGUCGUAACA